AGUAAUCAAUGAUGUAAAUCAGUAUCAUUCCUGAUCUAUCUGUGAUGAUUAUGCAAAUAAUCACCAUCUUUCGGCUGAGAUUGCU